GACGAACGCUGGCGGCGUGCUUAACACAUGCAAGUCGAACGGUGAAGCUCCAGCUUGCUGGAGUGGAUCAGUGGCGAACGGGUGAGUAACACGAGAGCAACCUGCCCCUGACUCUGGAAUAAGCGCUGGAAACGGCGUCUAAUACUGGAUACGAGACGGGUCGGCAUGGGGACGUUCUGGAAAGUGGUUCGGUUGGGGAUGGGCUCGCGGCCUAUCAGCUUGUUGGUGAGGUAAUGGCUCACCAAGGCGACGACGGGUAGCCGGCCUGAGAGGGGGACCGGCCACACUGGGACUGAGACACGGCCCAGACUCCUACGGGAGGCAGCAGUGGGGAAUAUUGCGCAAUGGGCGGAAGCCUGAUGCAGCGACGCCGCGUGAGGGAUGACGGCCUUCGGGUUGUAAACCUCUUUCAGCAGGGAAGAAGCGAAAGUGACGGUACCUGCAGAAGAAGCACCGGCUAACUACGUG
rnacentral:rRNA from 1 species